GGAGUGGUACUCAAGAGGCUGAAGAGGACGGUUUGCUAAAUCGUUAGAGGGGCAACCCUGCGAGAGUUCGAAUCUCUCCCACUCCGCCA
rnacentral:tRNA from 1 species